rnacentral:ncRNA from 2 species
ACACAAUGCUGGGGGAGCCCUUCGGGGCUGAGAGGGACUGCGGUCCGACCCUUGGAACCUGACGCGGUUUGAACCGCCGGAGGGAAGCAGCCAAGCCGAAAC